rnacentral:snoRNA from 1 species
UGUUGAUGAUGAUUGCAACAUAAAAUAGACAAAUUAUGUGUCGUUGUGAUUAAAAGGAUGCUUUCUGGAACCUACUCCCUUUCCUUAUAUGAGAUG